AGAGUUCCCUGAGGUUUUUAACUGCCAAAAAACCCUCCUGGUCUCCGCCACCUGCCUAUUACAUUUUUUUUUUUUAUUUUCCAGACUAAGUACCCCUCUAAAGGGCUUAAUGGAUGCCAAAAAGUCAAAAAAAGGAAAAAGAAGCUCAUCCGUCUCAGAAAAAACCAGGCAUCCGCAAUCACUACUAGAGCCUUCCCAAACAUCCUCUCAAUCCCACGAGCACCUCUCCAUGAAGUAUUAAAAGAAUCAGCAAGAUUUUACUAUUCUCUGGCAGCUACCUACGAACUUAGUGCGAAAAACAUUGCAGAAGCGAUAGCAAACGCUAAAGAAAAGGGCGAUGAAUUCAUGAGCAAAGCGUAUGAGGUGGAACAGAAAUACUUAGCAAGAACUACAAAGUAAAUCGUCCAAACUACAAACUGAAGGGAAAUACUUAGCAAUAAUUAAAACAGUAAAUCGUCCAAACUACUAACAGAA